UGCCAGCCGCCGCGGUAAUACUGAGGGUGCAAGCGUUAAUCGGAAUUACUGGGCGUAAAGCGAGUGUAGGCGGCUACGUAAGUCGGAUGUGAAAGCCCUGGGCUCAACCUGGGAAUGCCAUUCGAAACUGCGUAGCUAGAGUCUGAGAGAGGGAAGUGGAAUUCCAGGUGUAGCGGUGAAAUGCGUAGAGAUCUGGAGGAACAUCAGUGGCGAAGGCGGCUUCCUGGCUCAAGACUGACGCUGAGGCUCGAAAGCGUGGGGAGCAAACAGGAUUAGAUA
rnacentral:rRNA from 1 species